CAGCCGCGGAGCAGCCGGCUCGGGUCCGGUUUGCAUAUGCAAAUCUCCCCUGCAAUGAUUGGGGGAACGUGCAGAGCCACGCUCCGCCGCUGCCCACUCUGCGCGCGCAUCAUCGCCCCCACUGCUAAAUGUGGUUGUGCUGGGAGUGAGCAGCGCUUGCGCGUCAUCCGCCUGCGCCCGCUCUGCGUGCGCAUCUCCGCCCCCGGGGCCCCGCCCCCCCGCUCAAUGUGGUUGUGCUAGGAGUGCGCAGCGCCCGCGCGUCAUCCCCGUGCGCCCGCUCGCGCUGUGUGUCCUUGGCCUGCGAGGCUGGGCCGCGCUCGGCCGCCCGAGCCCCUCUAGGGCUCCGUAGGGCACCGGGCAUUGUCCGCGCAGGAGUAAGCAAAAUGCAGGACCUGCUUCCUGCUGCUGCCUGAGACCGGGCCCGGGCCAGCCGGCCAGGCGCCGGGAGCUGUCCGCCGCUGGGCUCGGGAUCGAGGGGCCGAGUCGGGAGUGAAGCAAAGGCGAACGUACCGAUGGCUCAUGCACGCCGCAGGGAACAGGACCGUUGCUGUGACAGACGGAUGGCACAGGCAUAAAGAGCUAGCCGUGACCGGUAACAGCAGACAGACAGAACGACAGAGCGACCACGUGGGGUCGGCGACUCGCCUGCAGUCCCUCCGCCAGGUGUGCGCCAAGCUGCUGCAGGAAGUCGGGCGUCCCUGUUCCGAUCCUGGCUCGCACGGGGAGUCCGGGCCAGGCCUGGCCCAGCGAUGCUCUCCCGUCCGUCCUCCGAACAGGUCCCGUGACGUACGUGCUCCUUUAUGCCCGACUUUGCGCUAAUCUGUUAGCUCCGAGCCGCUUAUAAUCUUGCCCGAGAGCUGUUACCCUAUGGGAUUAGAAGGUGUCAGAAAUUAUCAUACGAGACGACUGCCUAAACUUGGACUCGCCCAAUAAGCAAAUCGCAUCACAUCGCUUUGGGGUUUGAGAUGAGCAUUUACUCCGCCCAAGCGCAACCCCUUGGUUUCUUCCUCUUUCUCAGCUCCUCCCCGGAUUUACAGAAGUGCUAAUUAUAUUUUGUGGUCAGGGUUUGUCGUUAGGGCUGAACCUUCAGCAAGAGCCGUUAGAUUAGCUGAUGUUUGCACUUGUAUUUCUGGGGCUCAGCUAGUCUCGUGAUCAGUGCAGACAGUUAGCUUCAACACUUUGGUUAAACUUAUGACAGACAAGUUACAUCCUUGCAAGCUUUGCAUUAGCGAAUAUUAACUGACAGACGAUUACCAGAUGUUUCCAAGAGCAUAUAUUUAUUGAUUUAACCCCUCUGGUUCUGGCCGUCACAAUCCACCCCUUGCUUCUUGGAGCAUCUGCAAUUGUUUUACAAAUAUGACUCUUGCCAGGUGACAUAUGUAACAUUAUUACAAGCAACAGCAGUUAUUUUGGAAUAAACACAAGGCCCAAUUUUAUAACAACAAUAGCUAAGGAUUACAUUGAAUAAUAUUGGUCCUAUGAUUAAACCUAUUACUACUGCAAACCAAGGAAAGGGAGCGCCUUUAGUGAAGGUAUACAUUGUACAGUACAGGCUACUUCACACCACUUACACAGCGGGGGGAUGUUAGUAGCACACUUAAUAAUUCGCCUUCCCUCUUGGGCUAUGAGGGCAAGUUGUUUAUCGUUUUGGGCAUUUUCAAACAAAAUGUUGAUGUUGGCCGCUACUUUAUUCUACCCUUUUAGUUGGGGCGUGUCUACAUCUUGAACCCAGGAUUUUGGAAGACUUAGGUUAAGGGUGAAACUUUCUAGUUGGGUCUUUGGCCACAUUAAAGUAGCUUCCUGGCCUUGGACAUUUAAAGUAGCUGAUGCUCCUUGGAGGUCCAAAACGUGCCGUUGGGAUAGUACAAGCGACCAGAACCUUCCCAACAAACCCGCUGAGCUAGGGUAAUACAGGGAGCCGCUGGUAGGGGUGUUACACAAACCAUGUCGAGGGGACUGUUGGGUCACCCCCUCCAUAAAGUUCCCAAGCCUAUUAGAAUGCCAUGUACAGGGUACACCAGGGAUUGAGCUAAAUACUUGGGGCCUUCUAGGGUUAUAAUUUCCCAAAUGGGACGGUGUAAGUCCCAGUCCCACAUACAUCCUCCCCCCAGCCCUGUUGUUAAAAGGUGGGUAGUGGACCAUGUGCCAUUUGCUACCCCAGGUACGACAAAAAAGCAUUUUAUUUUGCUACACCCCUCACAUCGUGCACUCCAUGUGUCUCGGUAAACUAACCAUUGGGCUAAAGCUGGGGGUAGUCCAUGGUGCUCUAAGCGAGCAGGCCUUUCUUUGUGUUUGAGAUCUCUCACCACCUGGGAGAAGUGAAAGUUAAGUGAAAGCUGCACUUGGGCACACGCAGUGCUCCAAGUUUAAUUAGCAUCGGCUUGAAAGGCUGCAUGCAUUAACAGGUAACUUAUUUGUGCAGCUUCUCAGCCAAUGGUUGCUACUAACUCAUCAGUGUACUCUAGGGCCAUGUUAUCAAUCAUACCCCCUUUAGUGAGAAAACCUAUGGCUUGUCGUAUAUCCAUGAUCCCUUGGGUGUUUUUCUGAGAUUUAUCUAUGUUCCAAACUCCCAUGGCUGAAUUAAGCCCGUUCCACACGUG